GGGGAAUAUUGGACAAUGGGGGAAACCCUAAUCCAGCGACGCCGCGUGAGUGAAGAAGUAUUUCGGUAUGUAAAGCUCUAUCAGCAGGGAAGAAAAUGACGGUACCUGACUAAGAAGCCCCGGCUAACUACGUGCCAGCAGCCGCGGUAAUACGUAGGGGGCAAGCGUUAUCCGGAUUUACUGGGUGUAAAGGGAGCGUAGACGGCUUUGCAAGUCUGGAGUGAAAGCCCGGGGCUCAACCCCGGGACUGCUUUGGAAACUGUGGAGCUAGAGUGCAGGAGAGGUAAGUGGAAUUCCUAGUGUAGCGGUGAAAUGCGUAGAUAUUAGGAGGAACACCAGUGGCGAAGGCGGCUUACUGGACUGUAACUGACGUUGAGGCUCGAAAGCGUGGGGAGCAAAC
rnacentral:rRNA from 1 species